rnacentral:rRNA from 1 species
CUACGGGUGGCUCCAGUGGGGAAUAUUGGGCAAUGGGCGCAAGCCUGACCCAGCAACGCCGCGUGAGGGAAGAAGGUUUUCGGAUUGUAAACCUCUGUCCUUGGGGACGAAGAAGUGACGGUACCCAAGGAGGAAGCUCCGGCUAACUACGUGCCAGCAGCCGCGGUAAUACGUAGGGAGCGAGCGUUGUCCGGAAUUACUGGGCGUAAAGGGUGCGUAGGCGGCAUAUUAAGUCAGGUGUGAAAUACCCGGGCUCAACCCGGGGGGUGCAUUUGAAACUGAUACGCCUGAGUGUGAGAGAGGAAAGGGGAAUUCCUAGUGUAGCGGUGAAAUGCGUAGAUAUUAGGAGGAACACCAGUGGCGAAGGCGACUUUCUGGCUCAUAACUGACGCUGAGGCACGAAAGCGUGGGGAGCAAACAGGAUUAGAUACCCGGGUAGUC